GCGGUGGUAGUUCAAUGGUAGAAUUCUUGCCUUCCAUGUGGGAGAUCCGGGUUCAAUUCCCAACCAAUGUA
rnacentral:tRNA from 1 species